rnacentral:ncRNA from 1 species
CGGAUGAGUAAUGAAAAGGGAAUCAGGUGUAAAUCCUGAACAGUCGCGCUGCUGUAAACUCCACCAAAGUCUUUAAGCAACACUCAAGACCACUGUUUUGAUGAAAGCUAUUAGCCUUAGCUGAUAGUUGUUAGCAGGAAAAGCUAAAAGCCAACGCCUAUAAGCUAACUAAAAACGGGAAGGAUGCUUAAAAGACGGAGUAAAGUCAGAAGACCUGCCAACGAAAAAU